AGACGUCAAUUCAACGUCUAUUCCACGUUAGUUCCACGUCAUUUCAUUGAAAUGUCGUGAAAACAACGUUGAUUCAACUGGUGUGUGCCCAGUGGGAUGCGCCGUUCCGUAAGCAAGCCUCCUCAUUUGCCUCGUCCUUCAGAGGAUCCCCAAAUUCAUCAGACUGUUCCAUUGAUGGAGGGAGGGGGGACCAAACAAACAAAAUAUGAAACUAUGUUAGUUGUGCUAUUUUCAGCUUAUUUUUUUUCCAUUCUGACCAUGGCAGAGGCAGAGCUAUGGGCUUAUUUUGCUAUGUUAUUAUUCUAGCAAUUGACACAAGCUCUGCUCACGGGGCAAUUUCAUCUUUUAGCGGCAAGAGAGAAAAAUUGAAGAGCCAUGACUUGGGGUGUAAUGUAAACGCAGCAGCCUGAAAGACAGUGGACUGGAAGAGGGAGGAGAGGCUCAUUUUACAGAUUAGGGAGAUAACUAGAUGGAGCACGUUGUGGCUUGUAACAGGGAACUGCUUGUGUUCAUCUACAGUGCUCACAGGGGAGCAAGAGGGAGGGGUGAGGGAGGAAGAGGCGGCAUGACAACCCACGGCAGGCGGGAUACUUGGUUGCCAUGGCGACAAACAAGGAUGUUUGUAUCAGAGGCUAAUCUCGGCAGGCGGCCACAAAAGGCACACACACCUUCCACCGGCAGUAAUGGAGAAUCACUGGAGCUCGACACUGGCUAUUCAUUCCAAAGAGGGGGGGGGGGGGGCAGGUGGUGGAGAGGUAUACAUUUUUCUUAUCACUCGACAUUCCUCCUCAAUCAGGGUCCAGUCGAGCCAUGACCAGAAGGAGGGUUCCAUUCUAAUAUGAGACGGGCUGGGGCUGCCAUUGGUCUAGCAGCUAUAAUGUUUACUACAGCCUUGUUCUUCAGUAGGGAGGGACACUAGCAUCUAUAUACCAGAUUACACUGUUUACUACACAUUAUGGCCACACUAAGUGUAUUUGUAGAUUCAAUAACAGCAGAAUAUCACAUUUCAUUCAUCCUUAGUAAAUGAUCAACAAGGAUCAACAAUGACCUUGGCUGGUAGUAAAACAAUAGAGGAAUGCCAUUGGUUAGUGUGGGAUUCAUCCAACCAAAUAUCCUCCUACUGAAGCAUAUCAAGGGUGGAGGGAGGUCAAGAACCAGACAUUAAAUCCACUGUAUAUAAUCAAUGUUAGGGGUAUAGGAUGUAUGGGCAAAAGGAAGCUAUGAUCUGUACACAGAAAAGACCGCCCAUACCCACAUGUACUGAUGUCAUUCGUUUCUAAUAGGCUAAUCAGGUUAGUAUGGCCACACAAACUCAACGAAGGAUGUUUUCUGACAUGGAUGCAGCAGUAAGACAUUGACUGUAAUUGCGUGUACGUUUUGGUGGUGGCGCUGUGUCUUGUACAUUACUGUCUGUCCUGUCCUUUAUGACUCAUGCAUCUUCCAAGGGCACCAGAGGCACUUGCUGUUGUUGUUGCUGUGCAAUAGCUCAGAGGCCAAUCUCUUGGAAGUAGUUUCUCUCAUUUCGAAGCUGUCAUGCUGGCCCUAUUUGAGGGGUUUCAACAGAGGGACGGGAGAUAAGUAACUGAACAUACUUUUAUAGAAAAAUGCAAUUUAACAACAUAAAGCAGCUCUUCAAUAACUCGCAACAUGGAUCUUCUGUACUCAGACUAGGCUGCUUUGUCCAAAUAGAUACGGUAUUAAGAAGCUAUUCAGUCUAGUUGUCAUGUCUUUUCACCCUAAAUGUAAUACAACGGCAUGCGCCAAUUUCCUGAUCCUCUUUUUAUUGUUAACCUUAUAAAGCAGUGAAAGGGUUUUUUCUCUGUGGUCAUGGCUCUGAUGAAUGAGGGUCACAAUAUGACUCACCCCCACUGUGCCCACCGAAACAAGUCUUAUCGCUCUGACGAGACUGUCCAAACCAUGUUAGCCAAAAAGCAUUGUACAACUCAGACAGUCAUUACUAGAUACUAGACAUGGUAAAGUGAAACAGCAUCCUCUGUUAUAUUAGCUUUCUUUUAUCAACUCAUUGCAUGCUGGCCACAGAUGCAUCUUGGGAUGCCAUGAUUCCCUUACCCUCCUGCUAGGUGUGACACAGGACGGAGUGGAUGAGUGUGAGCAUUUUAG
rnacentral:lncRNA from 13 species